GUCUUUUAGAUAUUAAUUAAAAGUCUAUCCUGCCCAAUGAGUUUAUUUAAAGGCUGCGGUAUUUUAACUGUACAAAGGUAGCAUAAUCAAUAGUUUUUUAAUUGAAAUCUAGUAUGAAAGGUUGAAUGAAAUAUAAACUUUUUUAUGAUAAAAUAUAGAAAUUUAUUUUUUAGUAAAAAAGCUAAAAUAUUUAUAAUAGACGAGAAGACCCUUUAGAGUUUUAUAAUUAUAUAAUAAUUUAUUUUUAGUUAUAAUAAAAAAUAUUUUUUAUUAAUAUUAUUUUUUUGGGGUGAAAGUUAAAUUUUUAAAACUUUAAUAUUUUUAUUCAUAAAUUUAUGAAUAUAUGAUCCAUUAAUAAUGAUUGUUAGAUUUAAUUACCUAAGGGAUAACAGCGUAAUAAUAUUUAAAGUUCAUAUUAAAAAUAUUUUUUGCGACCUCGAUGUUGGAUUAAGAUUAAAUUUUGGUGCAGCAAUUAAAAAUUUAAGUCUGUUCGACUUUUAAUUUCUU
rnacentral:rRNA from 1 species